rnacentral:rRNA from 1 species
GCAAAGCGAAUGAUUAGAGGUCUUGGGGCCAAAAUUAUCUCAACCUACUCUCAAACUUUAAAUAGGUCUGAAGCCUAGCUCGCUGACGUGGAGCUGGGAAUUGUAUGAAAGUGCUCAGUGGGCAACUUUUGGUAAGCACAAAUGGCGCUGCGGGAUGAACCAAACGCCGGGUUAAGGCGCAUGAUGCAGAUGUUCAUCAGACCCCAGAAACGGGGUUGGUUGAUAUAGCAGCAGGAUGGUGGCCAUGGAAGUCGGAAUCCGCUAAGGAGUUUGUAACAACUCGCCUGCCGAAUCAACUAGUUUGGUUAACCCUAAUGAAGACAAGGAGUGAUCAAGGAUCAUUACUGUGUAUUUAAUACACAGAGAUAUAAAGAAAUAAAAUAUUAUUAACAUCAAGAAAAAGGAGUAAAGAAAAACACAAAAGAAGAAUAAAAAGAAACUGACGUGAGGACCCUAGGUCCCAGAUGUAGUAAAGAUACCCACCUCCCAGUGAAGAUAUCAACUAGGUAUCAGUGUGGGUCUUUUAAGAAACACCUGCCCUCAAGGGAAACCUAAUAAAGUCAAUACUGCUUCGCCUUGAGGACAGCCUUUUAUGACAAACAACAAAAGUAUUAUAAAACCUUUGUUUUUUAAGAAACCAUUACAAGUAAAAUUGCCCAAAUCCCAAUGUGAAAACAUGAUAACCAAGGGAAGGUUUGGGUACUAGACCACCCUUUAGGUCCAGUACAUGGAUACCCCACUGGAGCAUGAGUCCCAUACCUGGCCGGCGCUUGAUAGCUGCGGGGGCUAAGUCAGGCGAGUAGGAGGGCUGCUGCGGUGCGCACAGAAGGCCGUGGCGAAGGCCCGGGUGGUGCCGCCGCAGGUGCAGAUCUUGGUGGCAGUAGCAAUAUUCAAACAAGAACUUUGAAUGAUGAAGUGGAGAAGGGUUCCAUGUGAACAGAAGUUGAACAUGGGUCAGUCGGUCCUGAGAGAUGGGCGAGCGCCGUUCGGAAGGAAUGGGAUAUGGCCUCCGCUGCCCUCAGCCGAUCGAAAGGGAGUCGGGUUCAGAUCCCCGAACCCAGAGUGGCGGUGACGGGCGCCCUUGCGGCGUCCAGUGCGGUAACGCAAAUGAUCCCAGAGAAGCCGGCGGGAGCCGCAGGGAGAGUUCUUUUCUUUGUGAAGGGCAGGGCACCCUGGAAUGGGUUUGCCUCAAGAAAGGGGCCAGAGCCUUGGAAAGUGUUGCGGUUCUGGUGGCAUCCGUGUGAGCUCUCGAUGGUCCUUGAAAAUCUGGUGAUAUGUUGUAAAUCUCGCACCAAGCGGUACCCAUAUCCGCAGCAGGUCUCCAAGGCAGACAACCUCUGGCAUAUCAGAACAAUGUAGGUACGGGAAGUCGGCAAGUUAGAUCCGUAACUUCGGGAUAAGGAUUGGCUCUAAGGCUGGCUAAGGGCUGGGUCGGUCGGCUGGGGCGCGAAGCGGGCUGGGGCGCACCGCGGCUGGAUCGAGGCGCCUUCCCCUGCCCCAGGAGGGCAGCUCUGCCUCUGGAUGCGAGCCGGGCCCUUCCUGUGGAUCACCCCAGCUGCAGUGUUCACCUCUCUCGUUCCCCCUCCUGGGGUUCAGGGCCGGCAUUCUGCCUCGGCCGACACCUAGCAGCUGACUUGGAACUGGUGUGGACCAGGGGAAUAUGACUGUUUAAGUAAAAGAAAGCCUUGUGAAGGCCCAUGGAGGGUGUUAACACAAUGUGAUUUCUGCCAAGGGCUCUGAAUGUCAAAGUGAAGAAAUUCAAUGAAGACUGGGUAAACGGCUGGGGUAACUAUGGCCUGUAAGCUAGCCAAAUGCCUCGUCAUCUAAUUAGUGAUGUGCAGGAAUGCAUGAAUGAGAUUCCCACUGUCCCUGCCUACUAUCUAGCGAAACCACAGCUUAGGGAACAAGCUUGGCAGAAUCGUCGGGGAAAGAAGACCCGGUUGAGUUUGACUCUAGUCUGGCACUGUGAAGAGACAUGAGAGGUAGGAUAAGUGGGAGGCCCUCGGCCCGCUGCCAAAAUACCACUACUCUUAUUGUUUUCCCACUUAGCGAGCCCUGUGGGGCUCUCGCUUCUGGCUCCAAGCGCCUGGCACCUGCCGGGCACGACCCGCUCCGGGGACAGUGGCAGGUGGGGAGUUUGAGUUGUGGUACACCUGUCAAAGGAUAACGCAGGUGUCCUAAGCCGAACUCAGGGAGGACAGAAACCUCCCGCGGAGCAGAGGGGCAAAAGCUAGCUUGAUUUUGAUUUUUCAGUAUGAAUACAGACCGUGAAAGCUGGGCUUCACAAUCCUGCUGACUUUUUGGGUUUCAAGCAGGAGCUGUCAGAAAAGUUACCACAGGGAUAACUGGCUUGUGGUGGCCAAGCCUUCAUAGCGACUUCGCUUUGUGAUCCUUCGAUGUGGACUCUUCCUAUCAUUGUGAAACAGAAUUCACCAAGCGUCGGAUUGUUCACCACUAAUAGGGAACGUGAGAUGGAUUUAGAUAGUCGUGAGACAGGUUAGUUUUACCCUACUGAUGAUGUGUUGUUGCAAUAGUAAUCCUGCUCAGUACGAGAGGAACAGCAGGUCAGACAUUUGGUGUGUAUGCCUGGCUGAGGAGCCAAUGGGCGAAGCUACCAUCUGUGGGAUUAUGACUGAACGCCUCUAAGUCAGAAUCCCCCUAAACCGUAACGAUACCGCAGCGCUGACGAGCACCGGUUGGCUUAGGGUAGCCGGCCUCGGGGCCGGUGCGUAGAGCCGCUCGCCUCGGGACUUGAGUGUGGACAGAAGGGGUCCACCUCUCUCACCCAUAGUGCAGCGCAUGUUCG